CCUACGGGUGGCAGCAGUGAGGAAUAUUGGUCAAUGGACGAGAGUCUGAACCAGCCAAGUCGCGUGAAGGAUGACUGCCCUAUGGGUUGUAAACUUCUUUUAUAUGGGAAUAAAAUGUUCCACGUGUGGGAUUUUGUAUGUACCAUAUGAAUAAGGAUCGGCUAACUCCGUGCCAGCAGCCGCGGUAAUACGGAGGAUCCGAGCGUUAUCCGGAUUUAUUGGGUUUAAAGGGAGCGUAGGUGGAUUGUUAAGUCAGUUGUGAAAGUUUGCGGCUCAACCGUAAAAUUGCAGUUGAAACUGACAGUCUUGAGUACAGUAGAGGUGGGCGGAAGGCGUGGUGUAGCGGUGAAAUGCUUAGAUAUCACGAAGAACUCCGAUUGCGAAGGCAGUUCACUGGACUGCAACUGACACUGAGGCUCGAAAGUGUGGGUAUCAAACAGGAUUAGAUACCCGGGUAGUC
rnacentral:rRNA from 1 species